rnacentral:rRNA from 1 species
AAAACCAAAUUUUUGCAUAUUCCAAUAGCGGAGGAAAAGAAACCAACAGGGAUUGCCUCAGUAGCGGCGAGUGAAGCGGCAAGAGCUCAGAUUUGAAAUCGUGCUUUGCGGCACGAGUUGUAGAUUGCAGGUUGGAGUCUGUGUGGAAGGCGGUGUCCAAGUCCCUUGGAACAGGGCGCCCAGGAGGGUGAGAGCCCCGUGGGAUGCCGGCGGAAGCAGUGAGGCCCUUCUGACGAGUCGAGUUGUUUGGGAAUGCAGCUCCAAGCGGGUGGUAAAUUCCAUCUAAGGCUAAAUACUGGCGAGAGACCGAUAGCGAACAAGUACUGUGAAGGAAAGAUGAAAAGCACUUUGAAAAGAGAGUGAAACAGCACGUGAAAUUGUUGAAAGGGAAGGGUAUUGCGCCCGACAUGGGGAUUGCGCACCGCUGCCUCUCGUGGGCGGCGCUCUGGGCUUUCCCUGGGCCAGCAUCGGUUCUUGCUGCAGGAGAAGGGGUUCUGGAACGUGGCUCUUCGGAGUGUUAUAGCCAGGGCCAGAUGCUGCGUGCGGGGACCGAGGACUGCGGCCGUGUAGGUCACGGAUGCUGGCAGAACGGCGCAACACCGCCCGUCUUGAACCACCGGACCAAUCCAACCC